UACCCGCAGCACAAGUGGUGGUCAUUAUUAUUGGGCCUAAAGCGUCCGUAGCUGGCCUGUUAGAUGCCUGGGUAAAUCGAUGCGCUCAACGCAUCGAACUCCGGGUAGACCGGCAGGCUUGGGACCGGGAGAGGCGUGAGCUACUCGAGGGGUAGGGUAAAAUCCUGUAAUCCUUCGGGGAGGACCAGUGGCGAAGGCGUCACGCUAGAACGGCUCCGACAGUGAGGGACGA
rnacentral:rRNA from 1 species